rnacentral:rRNA from 1 species
UACAGAGGGUGCGAGCGUUGUUCGGAAUUACUGGGCGUAAAGGGCUCGUAGGCGGUCUGUCACGUCGGGAGUGAAAACUCAGGGCUUAACCCUGAGCCUGCUUCCGAUACGGGCAGGCUAGAGUUCGGUAGGGGAGACUGGAAUUCCUGGUGUAGCGGUGAAAUGCGCAGAUAUCAGGAGGAACACCGGUGGCGAAGGCGGGUCUCUGGGCCGACACUGACGCUGAUGCGCGAAAGCCAGGGGAGCGAACGGG